rnacentral:rRNA from 1 species
CACGUAGGGCGCAAGCGUUGUCCGGAAUUAUUGGGCGUAAAGAGCUCGUAGGCGGUCUGUUGCGUCCGCUGUGAAAACCCGGGGCUUAACCCCGAGCCUGCAGUGGAUACGGGCAGACUAGAGGUAGGUAGGGGAGAAUGGAAUUCCCGGUGUAGCGGUGAAAUGCGCAGAUAUCGGGAGGAACACCGGUGGCGAAGGCGGUUCUCUGGACCGUAACUGACGCUGAGACACGAAAGCGUGGGUAGCAAACAGG